UGCCCACCAACUCCUAUCCCUACCUUCUCGUGGUACCGGCCGGAAACUAUGAGCAACCUUAGGGAAGAUUGGGUAACCAUCCCCGAUGGGAACUUUGGUCGUAGGCUGACAGGUGAAGG
rnacentral:ribozyme from 1 species